GUUUACAUGAAAUUAAUUUGACACAAUAAAUCCCAGCAUAAGCAAACAAUAAUGGCAAUUUAAAUAUGGCAAUCCGAUGGUAAUGUCGAAGCUUUUCAUUCAAGUGAUGUAAUAUGACUAUGACAGAAGCGAAGGAUUGUUGUGUUGUGUCAAUGGAACGACGAGUAGAGAACUUUUCAGUGCAUCACCACAGCACCAUUAAUUGAAAUGAUAUAAGAAUCUAAUUAAAAAUACAGCUCAGUUUCGAAGAAAUCUCAAUAUUUACGCGAAAGAAUUUCAUAUGAUAACAAUAAUUCAAUGCCGUUUUAAAUAUUUUUAAAUUUAUUAAAAAUUGCCUUAAUUAUUGCCUUAAUGAAAGAGAAAAACUCUCGUUUGGGAUAUAAGUAAUGUGGAUGCCACGCCACUUCAACAAAUAUAGCAAAUCGUAAUGUCUGACGUUAUGUUGUGACGACUAUAAAAAAAUAUGUGUGAAUAUGUAUCUUUCGAAUGAUAUAGUUAACAUACAAAAUUAUGACAAGUGACAAGUAUCAAAUUUUCAAAGGAAAAGUAAUAAAUAAUGGCAAACGGCAAACGGCACCGAUACUCGUGUAUACAUUUUGCGUACCAAUGUGAAGACAAUGAGCCCGUGAUGAGCUCAAAUAAUCAUAUCAGAUGUGAAAUGCGCACGUUUUUGUGUUUGUUUAAAUUUUAUGCACGGAUAAUUGGAAACACUUGUUACACUUUAGGAGAGAGAAAUUUUUGCUACGCAAUUAAAAGAAAGUUGUUAAAAAUACUUUUUUGGAAACAUUUUUUCUGCCUGUUUUGCCACAUGUUUUUAAGUAAUUAAGUAGUCCUUAGAAACCGGCUGAAACACUUAAAAAUAUAAAAGAAAAGAAAUUUAUUAAGGGCUGUCGGUUUGUAAUAAAAUAUGUAUCUCAGUGAUGUACAUUGUUUAAGCAUUUUGAAGAUUUUAUGAGUUUUAGAAGUUGGAAUAUUGCAAAAUGAUCAAAUGCAAGGGUCGUAUGAUAAGCCUGA